GACGAACGCUGGCGGCGUGCUUAACACAUGCAAGUCGAACGGAAAGGCCCUGCUUUUGUGGGGUGCUCGAGUGGCAAACGGGUGAGUAACCCGUGAGUAACCUGCCCUUGACUUUGGGAUAACUUCAGGAAACUGGGGCUAAUCCCGGAUAGGAGCUCCUGCUGCAUGGUGGGGGUUGGAAAGUUUCGGCGGUUGGGGAUGGUCUCGCGGCUUAUCAGCUUGUUGGUGGGGUAGUGGCUUACCAAGGCUUUGACGGGUAGCCGGCCUGAGAGGGUGACCGGCCACAUUGGGACUGAGAUACGGCCCAGACUCCUACGGGAGGCAGCAGUGGGGAAUAUUGCACAAUGGGCGGAAGCCUGAUGCAGCAACGCCGCGUGCGGGAUGACGGCCUUCGGGUUGUAAACCGCUUUCGCCUGUGACGAAGCGUGAGUGACGGUAAUGGGUAAAGAAGCACCGGCUAACUACGUG
rnacentral:rRNA from 1 species